rnacentral:rRNA from 1 species
AACGAACGCUGGAGGCAGGGGUCAGACAUGCAAGUCGAGCGAAGUCUUCGGACUUAGCGGCGGUCCGGGGAGUAACCCGUGGGCAUAUCCCCUCCUCCACGGAAUAGCCUCGGGCAACUGGGAGCAAUACCGUAUACGCCCCGUGGGUGAAACAUUUAUCGGAGAAGGAUUAGCACGCGUUGGAUUAGGUGGUUGGUGGGGUAAUGGCCUACCAAGCCGACGAUCCAUAGCUGGUUGGAGAGGAUGAUCAGCCACACUGGGACUGAGACACGGCCCAGACUCCUACGGGAGGCAGCAGUGGGGAAUCUUAGACAAUGGGCGCAAGCCUGAUCUAGCCAUGCCGCGUGAUUGAUGGAGGCCUUAGGGUUGUAAAGAUCUUUCAGCUGGGAAGAUAAUGACGGUACCAGCAGAAGAAGCCCCGGCUAACUCCGUGCCAGCCGCCGCAGUAACAC